rnacentral:ncRNA from 2 species
GGUACCCACGUGACUAAGGGCACGAACGUCGCAGUUGUCUAACGAGUAGUCACGUGGAAUUCUCUUUUAAUCUCGCGCAUUUCUUUUAAAGCACCAAACAUUUAGACAAUCAAGGGCUACUUUGAUGGAAAUAACUCGAUUGGAUGUUUCUCGACACGGUGGGUGGUGGUGCACGGCCGUCCUUAGCUGCUGGAGCGAUUUGCUUAGUUAAUUCCAAUAACAAAGGAGACACUAGCCUAUUAAAUAGGUGCGUGAAUCUCUGAAACGUUCAAACUCUUGAAAGGAAGAAGGGGCUCCUAGUUGCACAAAACAGGGCAAUAACAGGUAUGUGAUGCCCUUAGAUGUCCCGGGCAGCACACGCGCUACACUGAACGAAGCAGCGUGAUUUUAUCCCUGACUGUAAAGACUGGGUAAGCCGUGGAACCUCCUUCGUGAUCGGGAUAGGGACUUGCAAUGGUUCCCUUUGAACGAGGAAUUUCCAGUAAGCGCGCCUCAUAAGCUCGCGUUGGUUACGUCCCUGCCCUUUGUGCACACCGCCCGUCGCUACUAUCGAUUGAAUGAUUUCGUGCAGGUCUUCGAACCGAUACCCGGAGCGUCCUUUCGAUUGCGCGGGUGUUUGAAAAAUGACCAAACUUGACCAUUCAGAGGAAGCAAAAGUAUUGGAGGGUGUGCGCAAAAAUUGUCUUUA